rnacentral:rRNA from 1 species
AAUCAACGCUGGCGGCGUGCCUAACACAUGCAAGUCGAACGAGAAGGUGACUUCGGUCACUGGAUAGUGGCGUCCGGGUGAGUAACACGUAGGUAAUCUACCUUCGGGUGGGGAAUAACGUCUCGAAAGAGACGCUAAUACCGCAUAAUGCAGCGGCACCUAAUGGUGAUUAGUUGUUAAAGCGGGGGAUCUUCGGACCUCGCGCCUGAAGAGGAGCCUGCGGCAGAUAGCUAGUUGGUGAGGUAAUGGCUCACCAAGGCUUCGAUCUGUAGCUGGUCUGAGAGGACGGCCAGCCACACUGGCACUGACACACGGGCCAGACUCCUACGGGAGGCAGCAGUGGGGAAUUUUGGGCAAUGGGCGAAAGCCUGACCCAGCAACGCCGCGUGAAGGAGGAAAUCCUUCGGGAUGUAAACUUCAUAAGUAAGGGAAGAAAGCUGCGGAUCGAAUAAGUCCGCAGUCCGACGGUACCUUACGUAAGCCACGGCUAACUACGUGCCA